CAAAAUCCGCUGGGAUUAUCUGAGACGUGAUGACGAGGCUCUUUGAGCCGAAGUUGCUGAUACCCCGCUUCCAAGAAAAACCUCUAAGCUUCAGGCAGAAAUGAGCCGUACCCCAAACCGACACAGGUGGGCGAGGAGAGUAUCCUCAGGCGUUUGAGACAACUCGGGAGAAGGAACUCGGCAAAUUAGAACCGUAACUUCGGGAUAAGGUUCGCCCACGCAAGUGGGCCGCAGUGAAGAGGGGGUUGCGACUGUUUAUCAAAAACACAGCACUCUGCAAACACGAAAGUGGACGUAUAGGGUGUGACUCCUGCCCGGUGCUGGAAGGUUAAUUGAUGGGGUCAGCCGCAAGGCGAAGCUCUUGAUCGAAGCCCCAGUAAACGGCGGCCGUAACAAUAACGGUCCUAAGGUAGCGAAACUCCUUGUCGGGUAAGUUCCGACCUGCACGAAUGGAGUAACGAUAGCCCCACUGUCUCCUUCCGAGGCUCAGUGGAAUUGAAAUCGCUGUGACGAUGCAGUGUUCCCGCGGCAAGACGGAAAGACCCCGUGAACCUUUACUAUAUCUUUACAUUGGAUUUUGAGUUUGUUUGUGUAGGAUAGGUGGGAGGCAUUGAAACCUGGACGCUAGUUCAGGUGGAGCCAACCUUGAAAUACCACCCUGAUAAACUCGGAAUUCUAACCUCGAUCAGUCAUCCUGGUCAGGGACAAUGUAUGGUGGGUAGUUUGACUGGGCGGUCUCCUCCCAAAGAGUAACGGAGGAGUGCGAAGGUCAGCUCAGCGCGGUCGGAAAUCGCGCUCUUGAGUGCAUAGGCACAAGCUGGCUUGACUGCGAGACAGACGAGUCGAGCAGGUACGAAAGUAGGUCUAAGUGAUCCGGUGGUUCUGUAUGGAAGGGCCAUCGCUCAACGGAUAAAAGGUACUCCGGGGAUAACAGGCUGAUACUGCCCAAGAGUCCAUAUCGACGGCAGUGUUUGGCACCUCGAUGUCGGCUCAUCACAUCCUGGGGCUGUAGCAGGUCCCAAGGGUCCGGCUGUUCGCCGGUUAAAGUGGUACGCGAGCUGGGUUCAGAACGUCGUGAGACAGUUCGGUCCCUAUCUGCCGUGGGCGUUCGAGAUUUGAGAGGAGUUAACCUUAGUACGAGAGGACCGGGUUGAACGUAUCUCUGGUGUUCCAGUUGUCACGCCAGUGGCAUCGCUGGGUAGCUAUAUACGGACGGGAUAAACGCUGAAAGCAUCUAAGCGUGAAGCCCACCUCGAGAUGAGAUCUCGCGGGUCUUCGAGACCCCUAAAGAGCCCUUGUAGACCACAAGGUUGAUAGGCACGGUGUGUACGGCCGGUAACGGUCAGCUAACGUGUACUAAUUGCUCGUGCGGCUUGACC
rnacentral:rRNA from 1 species